GACGAACGCUGGCGGCGUGCCUAAUACAUGCAAGUCGAGCGCAGGAAAUCGAUGGAACCCUUCGGGGGGAAGUCGACGGAAUGAGCGGCGGACGGGUGAGCAACACGUAAAGAACCUGCCCUCAGGUCUGGGAUAACCACGAGAAAUCGGGGCUAAUACCGGAUGGGUCAUCGGACCGCAUGGUCCGAGGAUGAAAGGCGCUUCGGUGUCGCCUGGGGAUGGCUUUGCGGUGCAUUAGCUAGUUGGUGGGGUAAUGGCCCACCAAGGCGACGAUGCAUAGCCGACCUGAGAGGGUGAUCGGCCACACUGGGACUGAGACACGGCCCAGACUCCUACGGGAGGCAGCAGUAGGGAAUCGUCCACAAUGGACGAAAGUCUGAUGGAGCAACGCCGCGUGAACGAUGAAGGCCUUCGGGUCGUAAAGUUCUGUUGUAAGGGAAGAACAAGUGCCGCAGGCAAUGGCGGCACCUUGACGGUACCUUGCGAGAAAGCCACGGCUAACUACGUGCCAGCCGCCGCGGUAA
rnacentral:rRNA from 1 species